rnacentral:rRNA from 1 species
GGCGAACGGGUGCGUAACACGUGGGCAAUCUGCCGAAAAGUGGGGGAUAGCUCGCCGAAAGGCGAAUUAAUACCGCAUAUGAUCAGCUGGGACAUCCCAGCGAAAUCAAAGCCGGGGCAACCUGGCGCUUAUCGAUGAGCCCGCGGCCUAUCAGCUAGUUGGCGAGGUAAUGGCUCACCAAGGCAUUGACGGGUAGCUGGUCUGAGAGGACGACCAGCCACACUGGAACUGAGACACGGUCCAGACACCUACGGGUGGCAGCAGUCGAGAAUUUUUCACAAUGGGGGCAACCCUGAUGGAGCGACGCCGCGUGGAGGAUGAAGGCUUUCGGGUUGUAAACUCCUGUCAUUUGAGAACAAGGUGCAUCGAUUAACUGUCGAUGCAUUGAUAGUAUCAGAAGAGGAAGAGACGGCUAACUCUGUGCCAGCAGCCGCGGUAAUACAGAGGUCUCAAGCGUUGUUCGGAUUCAUUGGGCGUAAAGGGUGCGUAGGUGGCGGGGUAAGUCAGGUGUGAAAUUUCGGAGCUUAACUCCGAAACUGCAUUUGAUACUGCCUUGCUUGAGGACUGGAGAGGAGACUGGAAUUCAUGGUGUAGCAGUGAAAUGCGUAGAGAUCAUGAGGAAGACCAGUGGCGAAGGCGGGUCUCUGGACAGUUCCUGACACUGAGGCACGAAGGCCAGGGGAGCAAACGGGAUUAGAUACCCCGGUAGUC